UACGGAGGGUGCGAGCGUUAAUCGGAAUGACUGGGCGUAAAGGGUUCGUAGGUGGUUUAUUAAGUUGUUGGUGAAAUCUCCGGGCUUAACCUGGGGUUGACGAAUGAAACUGAUAGACUCGAGUAUAGGAGAGGGUAGUGGAAUUUCCGGUGUAGCGGUGAAAUGCGUAGAGAUCGGAAGGAACACCAGUUGCGAAGGCGGCUACCUGGCCUGGUACUGACACUGAGGAACGAAAGCGUGGGGAGCAAACAGGAUUAGAUACCCUGGUAGUCCACGCCGUAAACGAUGUCAACUAGCUGUUUCUCAUAUAAAGAUGGGGAGUGGCGAAGCUAACGCGAUAAGUUGACCGCCUGGGGAGUACGGUCGCAAGAUUA
rnacentral:rRNA from 1 species